GAUUCCCCUAGUAACUGCGAGUGAAGCGGGAAAAGCUCAAAUUUAAAAUCUGGCGGUCUUUGGCCGUCCGAGUUGUAAUCUAGAGAAGUAAUGCCCGUGCUGGACCGUAUACAAGUCUCCUGGGAUGGAGCAUCAUGGAGGGUGAGAAUCCCGUACCUGAUACGGACUACCAGUACAUUGUGGUAUGCUUUCAACGAGUCGAGUUGUUUGGGAAUGCAGCUCAAAAUGGGUGGUAAAUUCCAUCUAAAGCUAAAUAUUGGCGAGAGACCGAUAGCGAACAAGUACCGUGAGGGAAAGAUGAAAAGAACUUUGGAAAGAGAGUUAAACAGUACGUGAAAUUGCUGAAAGGGAAACGCUUGAAGUCAGUCGCGUCUGCUGGGAAUCAGCCUCGCUCUUGCGUGGUGUACUUUCUGGUGUGACGGGUCAGCAUCAAUUUUGAUCACUGGAAAAAGGUGUGAGGAAUGUGGCAGCUUCGGCUGUGUUAUAGACUCGCGUCGUAUACAGUGGUUGGGAUUGAGGAACGCAGCACGCCGCAAGGCCGGGUCUUCGGACCACGUUCGUGCUUAGGAUGCUGGCAUAAUGGCUUUAAGCGACCCGUCUUGAAACACGGACCAAGGAGUCUAACAUGCCUGCGAGUGUUUGGGUGGAAAACUCGAGCGCGCAAUGAAAGUGAAAGUUGAGAUCCCUGUCGUGGGGAGCAUCGACGCCCGGACCAGAACUUUUGGGACGGAUCCGCGGUAGAGCAUGUAUGUUGGGACCCGAAAGAUGGUGAACUAUGCCUGAAUAGGGUGAAGCCAGAGGAAACUCUGGUGGAGGCUCGUAGCGGUUCUGACGUGCAAAUCGAUCGUCAAAUUUGGGUAUAGGGGCGAAAGACUAAUCGAACCA
rnacentral:rRNA from 2 species